rnacentral:rRNA from 1 species
UAGGGAAUCUUCGGCAAUGGACGAAAGUCUGACCGAGCAACGCCGCGUGAGUGAAGAAGGUUUUCGGAUCGUAAAACUCUGUUGUUAGAGAAGAACAAGGACGUUAGUAACUGAACGUCCCCUGACGGUAUCUAACCAGAAAGCCACGGCUAACUACGUGCCAGCAGCCGCGGUAAUACGUAGGUGGCAAGCGUUGUCCGGAUUUAUUGGGCGUAAAGCGAGCGCAGGCGGUUUCUUAAGUCUGAUGUGAAAGCCCCCGGCUCAACCGGGGAGGGUCAUUGGGAACUGGGGGACUUGAGUGCAGAAGAGGAGAGUGGAAUUCCAUGUGUAGCGGUGAGAUGCGUAGAUAUAUGGAGGAACACCAGUGGCGAAGGCGGCUCUCUGGUCUGUAACUGACGCUGAGGCUCGAAAGCGUGGGGAGCAAACAGG